UACGGGGGGGGCAAGCGUUGUUCGGAAUUACUGGGCGUAAAGGGCUCGUAGGUGGCCAACUAAGUCAGACGUGAAAUCCCUCAGCUUAACUGGGGAACUGCGUCUGAUACUGGAUGGCUUGAGUUUGGGAGAGGGAUGCGGAAUUCCAGGUGUAGCGGUGAAAUGCGUAGAUAUCUGGAGGAACACCGGUGGCGAAGGCGGCAUCCUGGACCAACACUGACACUG
rnacentral:rRNA from 1 species